GUAGGGAAUAUUGCGCAAUGGACGAAAGUCUGACGCAGCGACGCCGCGUGAGUGAUGAAGGCCUUAGGGUCGUAAAGCUCUGUUGAAUGGGAAGAAAAAAAUGACGGUACCAUUCGAGGAAGGACCGGCUAACUUCGUGCCAGCAGCCGCGGUAAUACGAGGGGUCCUAGCGUUGUUCGGAAUCAUUGGGCGUAAAGGGUGUGUAGGUGGCCAUGUAAGUCAGGUGUGAAAGCCCCGGGCUCAACCCGGGAAGUGCACUUGAUACUGCGUGGCUUGAGUACCGAAGAGGGUAGUGGAAUUCCAGGUGUAGUGGUGAAAUACGUAGAUAUCUGGAGGAACACCGGUGGCGAAGGCGGCUACCUGGUCGAGUACUGACACUGAGACACGAAAGCAUGGGGAUCAAACAGGAUUAGAUACCCUGGUAGUC
rnacentral:rRNA from 1 species